AAAGGUAUUUUUAAAAUCUAUUUCUGUCCAGUGAUGGUUUUCUUUUGGACUCUUGAGAUGCUAAAAUAUAAAACUAAUAGCAGGUGGAAGAGAAAGAGGAAGAAGAGCAAAAGCAGUCACUGUUCCAAAGCUUGCCUGAUCUAGUCAUGUACCAUGGCACAGUGAAGAUUUUUCAGCUGAAUAUACUGUAUAUAUCCCUGAAUCACAAUAUACCUUUCUUCCACCUUUUUUCUAAUUUUUGCACUGACACAGAACAUCAGCAACUAUGAUCUAUUUACUUUCCUGGAAUGUCAGAACUGACUUUCAGCAUUUUUCCAAAAUUUCACACAUUUUCUCCAUUCCUACCUGUAAAUACUAGACAUUUAAUUAGACUGUUUAGAUCAGUGUUUCUCAACCUCAGAAACUUUAAGAUGUGUGGACUUCAACUUCCAGAAUUCUCCAGCCAUCAAGGUUGAGAAACACUGGUUUAGAUGAAAUCAUGCCCUCUGUUGUGACCUAAAGACUUUCUUUGAUAUUCUCUCAGCUCUAUUACAUAUUACUUACCAUAGAUAUACCCUUC